CGAUGGGACCUAUGGCUGAGCUUGAUGUCGAGCUACACGUUGACAAGGUGUGACAGUGCACUGCACAGAGGUUCUGCUCUCCCCGCCCCCAUCUUUGUUAUUAGGACUAGGUGCCUCGAGUUGGUACCUCUUGGUCUUCACAAGUUGACAAAAAUGCUCUUUGACAGCCAGGUGUGUAUGUGUAUGUGCAUGCACAUAUGUGUACAUGUAUCAUGUUUUUUCCCCUAGACCUCUGCAUGUUGCUGCCCGAAAUGGGCUAACAAUGGUUGUUCAGGAACUUUUGGGAAAAGGAGCAAGUGUGCUUGCAGUAGAUGAAAAUGGCUAUACCCCAGCUUUGGCCUGUGCUCCCAAUAAGGAUGUGGCUGAUUGCCUGGCUCUCAUUUUGGCCACCAUGAUGCCUGUCUCAUCAAGUAGUCCUUUAUCAUCCUUGACAUUCAAUGCCAUUAACCGUUAUACCAACACCUCAAAAACAGUCAGCUUUGAAGCUUUGCCCAUCAUGAGGAAUGAACCUAGCUCCUAUUGCAGUUUCAAUAACAUUGGAGGGGAACAGGAGUACUUAUACACUGACGUGGAUGAGCUCAACGACUCCGAUUCUGAGACCUACUGAGAGGCUGAGGAGGAGGGAGUUCUCACAGUAAAGCUUCAAACUGUGCUUUUUCAGGAAAAAGGCACUUUGAUAUUCACGUAGAAAUUCAACCUGAGAGGAAAGAUCGCACAGUGAGCCAAUGUUAAGAGAUCUGAUGACAUUAGGAGGAAGAGUUUUAAAGGCAAGUUUUACAAAAGGAACUUCUAGAAUCUUGAAAUAGACUUGACUGAGGAAAACACAUUGAUGUCAGAAUUCUUUGUGGAAUUGUUUAAUUUGGUUUUGCAGUGCCAGGAAUAAUUGGGGACACUGUGCACUCUAACCUGCUUACACAAGCAACACUAUUGUAACAAGAAAUAAAGACACUAGAUUUAAAUUUUAUCAAUAAAAUUACAACUAAAUUUAAAGGCAAUAAAAGUUUGGUACAGUAGGCAUUAUGUGCACAGCAAAUUGCAAAAGGACCAAAUAACUGAAAGGUUUUUUUAAUAAAAUGCCAUUUU
rnacentral:sRNA from 1 species